rnacentral:rRNA from 1 species
GAUGAACGCUGGCGGCGUGCCUAACACAUGCAAGUCGAGCGAAGCCUUCGGGCUUAGCGGCGGACGGGUGAGUAACGCGUGGGAACGUGCCCUUUGGUACGGAAUAGCCCCGGGAAACUGGGAGUAAUACCGUAUGUGGUCGAGAGACGAAAGAUUUAUCGCCAAAGGAUCGGCCCGCGUUGGAUUAGGUAGUUGGUGGGGUAAUGGCCUACCAAGCCGACGAUCCAUAGCUGGUUUGAGAGGAUGAUCAGCCACACUGGGACUGAGACACGGCACAGACUCCUACGGGAGGCAGCAGUGGGGAAUCUUAGACAAUGGGGGAAACCCUGAUCUAGCCAUGCCGCGUGAUCGAUGAAGGCCUUAGGGUUGUAAAGAUCUUUCAGUGGGGAAGAUAAUGACUGUACCCACAGAAGAAGCCCCGGCUAACUCCGUGCCAGCAGCCGCCGUAAGAC